AGGCCAUGUUCCUGUGAGAAUUAUGUGUUUCUUUUUUCUCUCUUUUUUUUAUUUUACAAAAAAUUCAAGUGUUGUUUAUGAUCAAUUAUAAGACGUAGAUCCUUUCUUUCUUGGAUCUCUCAAAAACGAAACAAAGAACCUAGAAGAUGUUGGGUGAAGGGGCUUUGUUCGACAAACCCAAUAGUGAAAGGGCUCAAAGUUCUCUUUUGGAUCAACCGAGUUCUUUUCAUUAUACUAGUCAUAAGCAUAGAGGAAAUAAGAAUAUUACUUUAGGGAUGUCUCCAAUGAGCUUCCCGUAGAGGUGGUUGUUUGGAAUCACACAUAUACUGAAUAUCCCUUUUUUUUUUUUCAAUACUGAAACCACUUCUUCAAUCCCAAUCAGCUCCUAGUGCUCCAUUAUGCUUGAUCCUCUAUCCCAUGCAAUAAUAAAGUGUAGGCUUCUUCCCAUGAGGCUACUAUACAUCAGCCCUUUUUGGUUCUGUUCUCAAAACCAGGCUGAGCACAUAAAUAUAUAAUUAAAGCUGUCAAUAAGCCAAACUGUAA
rnacentral:sRNA from 2 species